GAAGAAAGGCAUCAGCAACGUGCCAGCAUUUCUGAUCUUACCGACCGCAUACUCCUUCCCAGAAAGCCCUUCAUUUUCCAAGCACUUCUGCUCACCCUCUGGGUGACCAUCCAGCGUGUGAUGGCAAGCAAUGAGUGAUCUCCCAUCUUCAUCUCAACCCACCAGCUGUCUCAUUCACGGCAUUUUCAUAUUUUCUCCCCACACCUCACCGGUUAUGGGAAGGUAUUAAUAUACUGAAGAGCACUUUCUUGGAAAGGGACUGUCCUUGGGCCCUAUUCUGUGCAGGGAGUUGUGCCUGGGACCCCCCAGCUGCACUGCCAACACCAUGUUCCUGUCAUAUACCACUCCAAUUGGACUUCAGAAAGCUACGUAUGAUUCAAAUAAUGCUUUUUUUUUACAAAUGGCAUGCAAAGGAAGGAGAAAAUGGCAGUCACACAGCAGACCUUUAUUCUCCUGAUCCGUAGUUCAAAGUUUUAUCCAACUAACACUAUCCUGCGAGCUGUUGCUCUAAGUCUGCAUUGUGCCAGAGCCACCAACCCUUGAAAUCCCAG
ensembl:lncRNA